AGGGCUUCAGGGGUCAUGUGGGGUCAAGAGUCUUCUUUGAGAUGAUGCACGCAACUGCUGUCUUUCAUUUUGACUCUUUCAAACCGUCGGGAAGAACUCUGGGAAUUGUUAUCAAUUGGUAACAGAUGGUUGUGUAACCUCCAAAAGUGUUGGGUACCAGAAACACCUGAUGAUGCUGCAGAGAGCAAGAACCUCCAGAAUUUGGACCAACCAGACGUGUUCUCCGUAGAAGACCUCAGGCCAAGAGCUAUGCCAUUGGCACUCAGUGAAGACCUCCAUUACAUAGAUCCUGGAUUGUCCAAACCAGAUUUUUCAAGAGGAGUUUUUAUACUGUGUGUUUCUACACGGUGGUGUAUACACAAUGGUGAUGCAGAUGAUUAAGAAGUUCCAACUACAGCACUGUGUGGCAUGGGCUGUCAAACAGUCGUGUGAGAGCUUCAGAGAAGUAACCUAUCAAAGGGAAAUCCCACCGUACUGUCGGGACCUGUAGUCAGCGUACUGAUUUUGUUAUCUGACAGAUACAAGAGAUCACUCAGGAGUUGCAUAGGAUGGAACGCAGGUUACAACAAAAAUUCAUGAACAACAUCAAUCCAUUCUCCUACCCAGAGAGUCCAAUGUCAUCGCGAAAUGACUGUUACAGACAACAGGCGUAGGAGAAUGCAUCAACCGUGGAACAAUAGAAAAGAAAAAACACAGCCAAUCGCAAACACAAAUGGUGGGACAGCUGAUUGCUGAAUAGCUAGUGCAGAUGGAUAGGAAUUUGCUGGUGUCCAUUAUUGUAUGGAGAUUCACCAAAAGCACUGGAAUGAAUAGAAACUUGUAGUCUUGUAAUCCUGACCCAUUUGCAGGCUUGGAAAGUGAUGAUGAUGGUGAUGACAGGAGUAUCUAUGAUGGAGAGGAAGAUAAUGAUCAUCACAAGACAUUUCAAUGGGCAUGGAAGACAUAAUGUAUUCAUCUUAGUUACAGUUUGCAAUUGAUGUUUGUGUACAUAAUAGUGUGAUCAUAAGCCACAUUAAGAUAUCAAAUAACAAGAAAUGAAGAUCUCAUACCUCAGUGAAAUAAUUUUUAGUUUUUCUGGAUUUCUUUUUUUAUGAAUUUCUUGUUGAUCCUGUCUGCAUUUUCCAUGGGCUACCAGAGGGACCAGGCAUGCAUGUAACAGGAAAUUGAAGACAGGAAAUUAGAUAUCCCUUUCUGGGACCUUUGAACUAGUUUCCUGUCAGUGGUCAGUGUCCCAGACGUUGCUAGUAUGUGGAAAUCAGCCUGUAUGGGAAGUAUGCUGACCUCCACUUUGACCUCCACUUCCUGUAAGUCUGUGGUGACACCAUUUUCUGUUACUUUCACUGUUAACAACUCACUACGGACACACUAAAGCAAAAAGGCACACCUUAAACAAAAUUGCCAACCUUUAUAUAAUAUUCCGUUCUGUACAAUGUCUGACACUACUAACAAUACAAUUUCAAGCACAAUCCACAUGUUUGUUAUAUCUCUCAAUAUACGAAUUAAGCUAGAUUUAAUCUGAUCAAACGGAUCCGUCGUUUACAAACUUUUUCAACGAUAAGUGAACUGCAAUGUCCAGCACAAUUUUAACACAGAUUACACAUGUUGUACUGUAAUGAUAAUUUCUUUUACAGAGUUUUAUGUUCUUCGAUGUCCCUAAAAGCAAAUUAAAUUACCUGCAUAUCUGUAAUGUUAUCGUCAUGAUUAAGUUGUUUGGCAAACUGCACGUAAGUUUGGCAUAACAAAUGGGAUAUUCCUGUAUAUCUUAGAAACACACGGAUUGACUAAAGUACAGCCUGAUCCAGGCGAUAACAUACCCACCGGUAUUUGAUAUACCCCCGGUAGUCAAUAUUCAUUAAUCUCUUUAGACAGAUCGUUCUUUGCUGUGUAGUUGUAGGACGCUAAUGAUGUUUGAUUUAUGCCCGUAUUGGACACAUUGCCUUCCGUGCAAACGUUUUCUCAUAAAAAUGAUUACGUCAAGAAAUGAAUUUAAGUCAUUGUCAACAACAGGUUAACAGUGAUCAUGAUUAAUUUCAAUAUUGAGAUUUUUGUUACCUCGUAUUGGUCCGCAUCAGCUCUAUAGCAAGAUGACAUACAACCUGAAAGCUGGGUUAAAAUUCAAUUUUUUUAUGGAGCUCAUUUAACUUGUUUUGAAGCCAACAAUGGCCACUUUUUUGAAGCCAACAAUGGCCACUUUACCCAAAGUCUCAUAUUAUUUGGAAACGUAUCAUGGACAAUAUCGGCAGGAAUACAUUCUUUUCAUACAAUAAAGACAACGUUCUGCAUCUGAACUUCAGGUAGUGAUGUCACCUAUGUUGAGGAUACAAUGGUUUCUCCCAAGCUUGCGUAUAACUUAAGAAAUGUGCGAACUUUCACUAGCCUAAUAGCGGAAGGUGUAAUGUAGGGAUCCAGACGGGAAUCCAGUGCACAACCUUUCCGUGAUGAACAACGCUUUUGGAUCGCUUUCAUACCGCUGAAUCUUCCUGGUUUACAUUUAGGAAAGUUUUUCCUUGUAGACCAGGUGUUCUCAAAGGCAUCAAGAUGAGAAUAUUGUAUCUGCUACUGUUGUGGAUUACUGUGGUGUCUGCAGUCAGCACGAAACAGGUCAACCGAAGUACAGGCGCUUCCCAGAUCACCGGAGUGGCUCCUCACGUUGGAAGCUUGAACGGCGGAACGAACAUCAAGAUCUUCGGAAGA